GUGAGGAAUAUUGGUCAAUGGACGAGAGUCUGAACCAGCCAAGUCGCGUGAAGGAAGACGGUUCUAUGAAUUGUAAACUUCUUUUGUGCAGGAAUAAAGUGGGUUACGUGUAACCUUUUCUAUGUACUGUACGAAUAAGGAUCGGCUAACUCCGUGCCAGCAGCCGCGGUAAUACGGAGGAUCCGAGCGUUAUCCGGAUUUAUUGGGUUUAAAGGGUGCGUAGGUGGAUUGAUAAGUCAGCGGUGAAAGUUUGCAGCUUAACUGUAAAAUUGCCGUUGAAACUGUCGGUCUUGAGUGCAAAUGAGGUAGGCGGAAUGUGUUGUGUAGCGGUGAAAUGCUUAGAUAUAACACAGAACUCCGAUUGCGAAGGCAGCUUACUGGGAUGCAACUGACACUGAUGCACGAAAGCGUGGGUAUCAAACAGGAUUAGAAACCCCUGUAGUCC
rnacentral:rRNA from 1 species